CUCCGGUUGAUCCUGCCGGACCCGACUGCUAUCAGAGUGGGACUAAGCCAUGCGAGUCAACGUAGCAAUACGUGGCAUACGGCUCAGUAACACGUAGUCAACAUGCCCAGGGGACGAGGAUAACCUCGGGAAACUGAGGAUAAACCUCGAUAGGCCAUGAUUUCUGGAAUGAUUCUUGGCUCAAACCUAUAUGGCCCCUGGAUUGGACUGCGGCCGAUCAGGCUGUUGGUGAGGUAAUGGCCCACCAAACCUGUAACCGGUACGGGCUCUGAGAGGAGGAGCCCGGAGAUGGGCACUGAGACAAGGGCCCAGGCCCUAUGGGGCGCAGCAGGCGCGAAACCUCUGCAAUAGGCGAAAGCUUGACAGGGUUACUCUGAGUGAUUUCCGUUAAGGAGAUCUUUUGGCACCUCUAAAAAUGGUGCAGAAUAAGGGGUGGGCAAGUCUGGUGUCAGCCGCCGCGGUAAUACCAGCACCCCGAGUGGUCGGGACGUUUAUUGGGCCUAAAGCAUCCGUAGCCGGUUCUACAAGUCUUCCGUUAAAUCCACCUGCUUAACAGAUGGGCUGCGGAAGAUACUAUAGAGCUAGGAGGCGGGAGAGGCAAGCGGUACUCGAUGGGUAGGGGUAAAAUCCGUUGAUCCAUUGAAGACCACCAGUGGCGAAGGCGGCCUGCCAGAACGCGCUCGACGGUGAGGGAUGAAAGCUGGGGGAGCAAACCGGAUUAGAUACCCGGGUAGUCCCAGCUGUAAACGAUGCAGACUCGGUGAUGAGUUGGCUUAUUGCUAACUCAGUGCCGCAGGGAAGCCGUUAAGUUUGCCGCCUGGGGAGUACGGUCGCAAGACUGAAACUUAAAGGAAUUGGCGGGGGAGCA
rnacentral:rRNA from 1 species